GAACAGGAUUAGAUACCCUGGUAGUCCACGCUGUAAACGAGGAUCACUCGCUGUUGGCGAUACACUGUCAGCGGCUGAGCGAAAGCAUUAAGUGAUCCACCUGGGGAGUACGGCCGCAAGGUUGAAACUCAAAGGAAUUGACGGGGGCCCGCACAAGCGCUGGAACAUGUGGUUUAAUUCGAUGAUACGCGAGGAACCUUACCUGGGCUUAAAUGCAGAACGACGUACCGGGAAACUGGUAUUCCCUUCGGGGCGGACUGCAAGGUGCUGCAUGGUUGUCGUCAGCUCGUGCCGUGAGGUGUCGGGUUAAGUCCCAUAACGAGCGCAACCCUCAUCGUUAGUUGCCAGCGAGUAAUGUCGGGGACUCUAACGAAACUGCCGGUGUAAACCGUGAGGAAGGUGGGGAUGACGUCAAAUCAGCACGGCCCUUAUGUCCAGGGCUACACACGUGUUACAAUGGCCAGUACAGAGGGCAGCUACCAGGCGACUGGAUGCUAAUCUCCAAAACUGGUCUUAGUUCGGAUUGAAGUCUGCAACUCGACUUCAUGAAGCUGGAAUCGCUAGUAAUCGCGCAUCAGCCAUGGCGCGGUGAAUACGUUCCCGGGCCUGUACACACCGCCCGUCAAGCCAUGGAAGCUUGGGGUAC
rnacentral:rRNA from 1 species